AAUUAAAUCAAAUGUGCAGUCUAUGCGCGUGCGCAGAACUCCGACUCCUCCCACCAAGUUUUCAACCAGUUUGCAUCUGGAUCAGUUCAUCCAUUGGCUGGUUAAUUGUUUUGGCGCGAUUUACAUGAUCACGACAGCUUCUCGCGUCAUCUGAUUGGUUGAUUUGAGUCAGGUUCACGGGUUACUUUGGAUUCGAAAACUAUAUUCCCGCCCAGGAUUCUUCUCGUCUCUUCUUCAACGGCUGUUUUUAGAAGUCCUCCAAUCCACCAUCAGCGAGACCGAACUCCUCCAGUCCAGCUACAGAUAAGCUUCUGACCCAUUUCAGAGGAGGAACAUUGGCCAUGACCCAAAAGGACCACUAAAUCCUCAACUUUUUCUUGACACUUCUGCGGUGAGAAAAAUUCCCUAACAAAAAAAACGGUCAUAUCCAGAGAUGGCUUCAGCUUGCUCCGGAUUGGGAUGGAGGAAGAAGAGAACGGCUGAAGAGAAAGGAGAUGAUAAAUAGCUGUGCCUCUCAUUUAGAGCCUCAAUAGCUUAUGCGUGCGAACACAUACGAAAUACAUUCAUUUCCUUUUCAUGUGCACACACGCAGUUAUGUGUUAUGUUGUUUAUAAAGUUUAAUUUUGUCUUUCUUUGGUUUAUAACGUUUUCAUUUAGUCCGUAUUCGGUUUCAUUUUUUCAAGUGUUAAGGUACUGUUCAUUUAAAGUCUAAAGGUUUCCGUUUUACAUAAAAAUAUGUUCAACACAAUGUGUUCACUUUAUUUUUAUUUGUAAAUAAAAAAUGUUUAUUGAAAAACAA